AUUGAACGCUGGCGGAAUGCUUUACACAUGCAAGUCGAACGGCAGCACGGGGGCAGCCCUGGUGGCGAGUGGCGAACGGGUGAGUAAUACAUCGGAACGUGCCCGGUCGUGGGGGAUAACGUAGCGAAAGUUACGCUAAUACCGCAUACGAUCUGAGGAUGAAAGCGGGGGACCUUCGGGCCUCGCGCGAUCGGAGCGGCCGAUGUCAGAUUAGGUAGUUGGUGGGUUAAAGGCCUACCAAGCCGACGAUCUGUAGCUGGUCUGAGAGGACGACCAGCCACACUGGGACUGAGACACGGCCCAGACUCCUACGGGAGGCAGCAGUGGGGAAUUUUGGACAAAGGGCGCAAGCCUGAUCCAGCCAUUCCGCGUGCAGGACGAAGGCCUUCGGGUUGUAAACUGCUUUUGUACGGAACGAAAAGGCUCUGGCUAAUACCUGGGGCUCAUGACGGUACCGUAAGAAUAAGCACCGGCUAACUACGUG
rnacentral:rRNA from 1 species